AGAGUUUGAUCCUGGCUCAGGAUGAACGCUGGCGGCGUGCUUAACACAUGCAAGUCGAACGAAGCACUUAUCUUUGAUUCUUCGGAUGAAGAGGUUUGUGACUGAGUGGCGGACGGGUGAGUAACGCGUGGGUAACCUGCCUCAUACAGGGGGAUAACAGUUAGAAAUGACUGCUAAUACCGCAUAAGACCACGGAGCCGCAUGGCUCAGUGGGAAAAACUCCGGUGGUAUGAGAUGGACCCGCGUCUGAUUAGGUAGUUGGUGGGGUAACGGCCUACCAAGCCAACGAUCAGUAGCCGACCUGAGAGGGUGACCGGCCACAUUGGAACUGAGACACGGUCCAAACUCCUACGGGAGGCAGCAGUGGGGAAUAUUGCACAAUGGGGGAAACCCUGAUGCAGCGACGCCGCGUGAGCGAAGAAGUAUUUCGGUAUGUAAAGCUCUAUCAGCAGGGAAGAAAAUGACGGUACCUGACUAAGAAGCACCGGCUAAAUACGUGCCAGCAGCCGCGGUAAUACGUAUGGUGCAAGCGUUAUCCGGAUUUACUGGGUGUAAAGGGAGCGUAGACGGCUGUGUAAGUCUGAAGUGAAAGCCCGGGGCUCAACCCCGGGACUGCUUUGGAAACUAUGCAGCUAGAGUGUCGGAGAGGUAAGUGGAAUUCCCAGUGUAGCGGUGAAAUGCGUAGAUAUUGGGAGGAACACCAGUGGCGAAGGCGGCUUACUGGACGAUGACUGACGUUGAGGCUCGAAAGCGUGGGGAGCAAACAGGAUUAGAUACCCUGGUAGUCCACGCCGUAAACGAGAAUUAAUAGGUAUCGGAGAACAAAGCUUUGAGGUGCGGCAGCAAACGCAAAAAGAUGUCCACCCGGGGAGUACAUUAGCAAGAAUGAAACUUCAAAAGAAUUGUCGGGGACCCGCACAAGCGGUGGAGCAUGUGGUUUAAUUGGAAGCAACGCGAAGAACCUUACCUGCUCUUGACAUCCCGGUGUACCGGCAUGUAAUGAUGCCUUUUCUUCGAAACACCAGUGACAGGUGGUGCAUGGUUGUCGUCAGCUCGUGUCGUGAGAUGUUGGGUUAAGUCCCGCAACGAGCGCAACCCUUAUCUUCAGUAGCCAGCAAUUCGGAUGGGCACUCUGGAGAGACUGCCAGGGAUAACCUGGAGGAAGGUGGGGAUGACGUCAAAUCAUCAUGCCCCUUAUGAGCAGGGCUACACACGUGCUACAAUGGCGUAAACAAAGGGAAGCGAGCCUGCGAGGGUAAGCAAAUCUCAAAAAUAACGUCUCAGUUCGGAUUGUAGUCUGCAACUCGACUACAUGAAGCUGGAAUCGCUAGUAAUCGCGAAUCAGCAUGUCGCGGUGAAUACGUUCCCGGGUCUUGUACACACCGCCCGUCA
rnacentral:rRNA from 1 species